rnacentral:rRNA from 1 species
GGUUUGAAUAUUAAAACUCCGGUGGUAUAAGAUGGGCAUGCGUAGCAUUAGUUUGUUGGUGAGGUAACGGCUCACCAAGACUAUGACGCUUAGGGGGUCUGAGAGGAUAGUCCCCCACACUGGUACUGAGACACGGACCAGACUCCUACGGGAGGCAGCAGUGAGGAAUAUUGGUCAAUGGGCGAAAGCCUGAACCAGCCAUGUCGCGUGCAGGAUGACGGCCCUAUGGGUUGUAAACUGUUUUUUUACAGGAAUAAUUGCAGAUACGUGUAUUUGUUUGAAUGUACUGUAUGAAUAAGGAUCGGCUAACUCCGUGCCAGAAGCCGCGGUAAUACGGAGGAUUCGAGCGUUAUCCGGAUUUAUUGGGUUUAAAGGGUCCGUAGGCGGUUCUUUAAGUCAGUGGUGAAAUCCCAGAGCUCAACUCUGGAACUGCCAUUGAAACUGAAGAACUUGAAUAUGGUUGAGGCAGGCGGAAUACGUUAUGUAGCGGUGAAAUGCAUAGAUAUAACGUAGAACACCAAUUGCGAAGGCAGCUUACUAAACCAUUAUUGACGCUGAUGGACGAAAGCGUGGGGAGCGAACAGGAUUAGAUACCCUGGUAGUCCACGCCGUAAACGAUGAUUACUCGUUGUGCACAAUACACCGUGCGUGACUGAGCGAAAGCAUUAAGUAAUCCACCUGGGGAGUACGUUCGCAAGAAUGAAACUCAAAGGAAUUGACGGGGGCCCGCACAAGCGGAGGAACAUGUGGUUUAAUUCGAUGAUACGCGAGGAACCUUACCUGGACUUAAAUGUAGAUUGACCGGUUUAGAAAUAGAUCUUUCCUUCGGGACAAUUUACAAGGUGCUGCAUGGUUGUCGUCAGCUCGUGCCGUGAGGUGUCGGGUUAAGUCCCAUAACGAGCGCAACCCCUAUCGUUAGUUGCUAGCAGGUAAUGCUGAGGACUCUAGCGAGACUGCCACCGUAAGGUGAGAGGAAGGUGGGGAUGACGUCAAAUCAGCACGGCCCUUACGUCCAGGGCUACACACGUGUUACAAUGGCCAGUACAAAGGGCAGCUACCAGGUGACUGGAUGCUAAUCUCAAAAGCUGGUCUCAGUUCGGAUCGGAGUCUGCAACUCGACUCCGUGAAGUUGGAUUCGCUAGUAAUCGUAUAUCAGCAAUGAUACGGUGAAUACGUUCCCGGGCCUUGUACACACCGCCCGUCAAGCCAUGGAAGCCGAGGGUGCCUGAAGUACGUUACCGCAAGGAGCGUCCUAGGGUAAAAUUGGUAACU